rnacentral:lncRNA from 1 species
UAAACCGACUGGUAAAAAACAAGAAUUUCCCUGAGGCAUUUAAACACAAAAAAGUUAACGCAGCAUCAUGCCCAAGAAUGUUCACUUACAUCAAAACGCACAAGACUCCUGUAGAAGUAAGACCAAUUGUAGAAAAGAGGUACGCACCGACCUAUAACUUAGAAACAAAAAUUGCUAAAUGGGCUAACAACAUUCUUAAAGGAUACAAGUAUACAGCCAGCAACACCUACGAAGUUCUCAAGAGAAUACAGAAUAGAACACCUCAACCUUAUGAGGUUUAACAACAUACGAUUUCAAAAGUUUGUAUCCGUCUGUAAAUCUGGAAGCGACCUGCCUAGCAUUUUAUCGUUUCCUUCUGAGAUAUAUACCUAACUCAGAAGCCGCGGCACCAGUUUUAAGAGAUUUAGCGCAUAUGAUCUGCUACGACUCGUACUUUGUGUUUUGAAACAG